rnacentral:rRNA from 1 species
CGAACGAUGAAGCCCACUUGUGGGUGGAUUAGUGGCGAACGGGUGAGUAACACGUGAGUAACCUGCCCUUGACUCUGGGAUAAGCCUGGGAAACUGGGUCUAAUACCGGAUAUGACUGAUCAUCGCAUGGUGGUUGGUGGAAAGCUUUUUGUGGUUUUGGAUGGACUCGCGGCCUAUCAGCUUGUUGGUGAGGUAAUGGCUUACCAAGGCGACGACGGGUAGCCGGCCUGAGAGGGUGACCGGCCACACUGGGACUGAGACACGGCCCAGACUCCUACGGGAGGCAGCAGUGGGGAAUAUUGCACAAUGGGCGCAAGCCUGAUGCAGCGACGCCGCGUGAGGGAUGACGGCCUUCGGGUUGUAAACCUCUUUCAGUAGGGAAGAAGCGAAAGUGACGGUACCUGCAGAAGAAGCGCCGGCUAACUACGUGCCAGCAGCCGCGGUAAUACGUAGGGCGCAAGCGUUAUCCGGAAUUAUUGGGCGUAAAGAGCUCGUAGGCGGUUUGUCGCGUCUGCCGUGAAAGUCCGGGGCUCAACUCCGGAUCUGCGGUGGGUACGGGCAGACUAGAGUGAUGUAGGGGAGACUGGAAUUCCUGGUGUAGCGGUGAAAUGCGCAGAUAUCAGGAGGAACACCGAUGGCGAAGGCAGGUCUCUGGGCAUUAACUGACGCUGAGGAGCGAAAGCAUGGGGAGCGAACAGGAUUAGAUACCCUGGUAGUCCAUGCCGUAAACGUUGGGCACUAGGUGUGGGGGACAUUCCACGUUUUCCGCGCCGUAGCUAACGCAUUAAGUGCCCCGCCUGGGGAGUAC